GCCAUUGUGAUCUCAUUUCCUGUGCCUUGUACUGUGAUGGCUCACGGGCCAGGACCCAAGGCAGAGGUGCUGGGUCCUCAUAAGCACCAGAAUCAUUUCCCUAAAGUGAUGUCAUUGGAAAAGUAUGAGGAAGGAUUAGGGAGAAGGUGGCCUUCUCAGUCAGGGCCAGUGCUGGUGUGAGAGGUUCAAGGACAAAGCAAUGGAAACAACCAACAGAGUGUACAGACAACCUACAGAAUGAGAAUAACUUGUUGCCAGAAAGGAGUGAAAAGGAAUGAAAAAAGAACUGAAGAUCUGUUAUGUACAUAUACCAGCCAU